AUGGAACUCUUCACAGUGGUCAAGAAACAAAUAAAUACCGUAUUGCCCUGGUGUACUCCAAAUAGGGCUUUUAAGAAAAGGAAUAUGGGACCAGAUGGGAAUGAGAAUGAGAAGUUGGAGAAGAGCGGCCGGGGAAAGAGUUUGAGCAAUAUACUGGACUCCUGCAAAGCCACUGCUCUCCCAGGCAAUCCUUAUUCCUUCUCCCAAAGAAGGUGGAGCUUUCCCCCAGAAAGCCCCAUAAGGCUGAAAAGAUUCAGUGGGAGUGUGCCACCAGGAAUAAAUUCAUUUUGCAACAAAACUUUUUGUCAUCAGAACUUAAAUGGAAGAUGAAUAUUGUUCUCAGAAGUGGAAGAAAGCCUUCGUAGACAAAUACAUUGAAAAGAACUGAUUUUUUUUUUGGGGCGCCUGGGUGGCGCAGUCGGUUAAGCGUCCGACUUCAGCCAGGUCACGAUCUCGCGGUCCGUGAGUUCGAGCCCCGCGUCAGGCUCUGGGCUGAUGGCUCGGAGCCUGGAGCCUGUU
rnacentral:lncRNA from 1 species